UACGUAGGGCGCAAGCGUUGUCCGGAAUUAUUGGGCGUAAAGAGCUCGUAGGCGGUCCGUCGCGUCUGCCGUGAAAACCCGAGGCUUAACCUCGUGGCUUGCGGUGGAUACGGGCAGACUAGAGGUAGGUAGGGGAGAAUGGAAUUCCCGGUGUAGCGGUGAAAUGCGCAGAUAUCGGGAGGAACACCGGUGGCGAAGGCGGUUCUCCGGGCCUUACCUGACGCUGAGGAGCGAAAGCGUGGGGAGCGAACAGG
rnacentral:rRNA from 1 species